rnacentral:rRNA from 1 species
GGCUCAGGACGAACGCUGGCGGCAUGCCUAAUACAUGCAAGUCGAGCGGACUUGAAGAGAAGCUUGCUUCUCUGAUGGUUAGCGGCGGACGGGUGAGUAACACGUAGGCAACCUGCCCUCAAGCUUGGGACAACUACCGGAAACGGUAGCUAAUACCGAAUACUUGUUUUCUUCGCCUGAAGAGAACUGGAAAGACGGAGCAAUCUGUCACUUGGGGAUGGGCCUGCGGCGCAUUAGCUAGUUGGUGAGGUAACGGCUCACCAAGGCGACGAUGCGUAGCCGACCUGAGAGGGUGAUCGGCCACACUGGGACUGAGACACGGCCCAGACUCCUACGGGAGGCAGCAGUAGGGAAUCUUCCGCAAUGGGCGAAAGCCUGACGGAGCAAUGCCGCGUGAGUGAUGAAGGUUUUCGGAUCGUAAAGCUCUGUUGCCAGGGAAGAACGCUUGGGAGAGUAACUGCUCUCAAGGUGACGGUACCUGAGAAGAAAGCCCCGGCUAACUACGUGCCAG